rnacentral:rRNA from 1 species
GCCAGACUCCUACGGGAGGCAGCAGUGGGGAAUAUUGCACAAUGGGGGAAACCCUGAUGCAGCGACGCCGCGUGAAGGAAGAAGUAUUUCGGUAUGUAAACUUCUAUCAGCAGGGAAGAAAAUGACGGUACCUGACUAAGAAGCCCCGGCUAACUACGUGCCAGCAGCCGCGGUAAUACGUAGGGGGCAAGCGUUAUCCGGAUUUACUGGGCGUAAAGGGAGCGCAGGCGGCGCGCCAAGUCUGAUGUGAAACCCCGGGGCUCAACCCCGGGACUGCAUUUGGAACUGUGCUGCUAGAGUGUCGGAGAGGCAGGCGGAAUUCCUAGUGUAGCGGUGAAAUGCGUAGAUAUUAGGAGGAACACCAGUGGCGAAGGCGGCCUGCUGGACGAUGACUGACGUUGAGGCUCGAAAGCGUGGGGAGCAAACAGGAUUAGAUACCCGAGUA